GGAUUAGAUACCCUGGUAGUCCACGCCGUAAACGAUGUCAACUAGCCGUUGGGGAUCUUGAAUCCUUAGUGGCGCAGCUAACGCACUAAGUUGACCGCCUGGGGAGUACGGCCGCAAGGUUAAAACUCAAAUGAAUUGACGGGGGCCCGCACAAGCGGUGGAGCAUGUGGUUUAAUUCGAUGCAACGCGAAGAACCUUACCUGGUCUUGACAUCCAGAGAACUUUCCAGAGAUGGAUUGGUGCCUUCGGGAACUCUGUGACAGGUGCUGCAUGGCUGUCGUCAGCUCGUGCUG
rnacentral:rRNA from 1 species